AUAGGUUAACGAGGCGAACCGGGGGAACUGAAACAUCUAAGUACCCCGAGGAAAAGAAAUCAACCGAGAUUCCCCCAGUAGCGGCGAGCGAACGGGGAGCAGCCCGGAGUCUGAAUCAGCUUGUGUGUUAGUGGAACGGUCUGGAAAGUCCGACGGUACAGGGUGAUAGUCCCGUACACGAAAACACACUUGCUGUGAACUCGAAGAGUAGGGCGGGACACGUGGUAUCCUGUCUGAAUAUGGGGGGACCAUCCUCCAAGGCUAAAUACUCCUGACUGACCGAUAGUGAACCAGUACCGUGAGGGAAAGGCGAAAAGAACCCCGGCGAGGGGAGUGAAAAAGAACCUGAAACCGUGUACGUACAAGCAGUGGGAGCACCUUCGGGUGUGACUGCGUACCUUUUGUAUAAUGGGUCAGCGACUUAUAUUCUGUAGCAAGGUUAACCGUAUAGGGGAGCCGAAGGGAAACCGAGUCUUAACUGGGCGUUAAGUUGCAGGGUAUAGACCCGAAACCCGGUGAUCUAGCCAUGGGCAGGUUGAAGGUUGGGUAACACUAACUGGAGGACCGAACCGACUAAUGUUGAAAAAUUAGCGGAUGACCUGUGGCUGGGGGUGAAAGGCCAAUCAAACCGGGAGAUAGCUGGUUCUCCCCGAAAGCUAUUUAGGUAGCGCCUCGUGAACUCAUCUUCGGGGGUAGAGCACUGUUUCGGCUAGGGGGCCAUCCCGGCUUACCAACCCGAUGCAAACUACGAAUACCGAAGAAUGUUAUCACGGGAGACACACGGCGGGUGCUAACGUCCGUCGUGAAGAGGGAAACAACCCAGACCGCCAGCUAAGGUCCCAAAGUCAUGGUUAAGUGGGAAACGAUGUGGGAAGGCACAGACAGCCAGGAUGUUGGCUUAGAAGCAGCCAUCAUUUAAAGAAAGCGUAAUAGCUCACUGGUCGAGUCGGCCUGCGCGGAAGAUGUAACGGGGCUAAACCAUGCACCGAAGCUGCGGCAGCGACACUAUGUGUUGUUGGGUAGGGGAGCGUUCUGUAAGCCGUUGAAGGUGUGCUGUGAGGCAUGCUGGAGGUAUCAGAAGUGCGAAUGCUGACAUAAGUAACGAUAAAGCGGGUGAAAAGCCCGCUCGCCGGAAGACCAAGGGUUCCUGUCCAACGUUAAUCGGGGCAGGGUGAGUCGACCCCUAAGGCGAGGCCGAAAGGCGUAGUCGAUGGGAAACAGGUUAAUAUUCCUGUACUUGGUGUUACUGCGAAGGGGGGACGGAGAAGGCUAUGUCAGCCGGGCGACGGUUGUCCCGGUUUAAGCAUGUAGGCGGAGGUUCCAGGUAAAUCCGGUACCUUUUAACGCUGAGGUGUGAUGACGAGGCACUACGGUGCUGAAGUGAUAAAUGCCCUGCUUCCAGGAAAAGCCUCUAAGCAUCAGGUAACACGAAAUCGUACCCCAAACCGACACAGGUGGUCAGGUAGAGAAUACCAAGGCGCUUGAGAGAACUCGGGUGAAGGAACUAGGCAAAAUGGUGCCGUAACUUCGGGAGAAGGCACGCUGAUAUGUAGGUGAAGCCCCUGCGG
rnacentral:rRNA from 1 species